CAGUUCAUCUACCACGAGAAUUCUACCACGGGCUUUAUCAGCUCGUUGUAAAAAGUAUAAAUUUACCACAGGCAUAGUAAGUGCGUGAUGAAUAAUAAUUUUUUACCACGGGUAAAUCUUAGCCCGUUAUAAAAUAGUAGUUAAUAAUCACGCGCAAAGUUGCACGUUAUAAAUAUUCUAAGUAACUACGGACAAUGCUCGUGGUCAAUAUUGUUAGUAUCCACAAUGUCUUUUUAUUAUCUACCACAAGCAUAAUGUGUGAUAGAAUCAUAAAUUCACAUAUUUGGAGGAGGCGGGACACCAAAAUUUUGCAAAAUUUUAGACAUCUUUUGUUGAAAUUUCAAAUUUUUUUGACAAAUCCACUUUUUGCUCUAUCUCCUUUCCAUGUCCAUCUCUUCCACUUUAUCUUCCUUUCCCUUUUCCAAAAACAAAAACAAAUUCUACCCCCUUUCAACUACGCUCCCAUGUUUUUCCAAAGCUCAACCGCUUCGGUUUCUUAAAACAAAAAAAAAAACAUCAUAAUUUGUCUCUCCCCGGUUUCCCAUAAUUUAAUUUGCAUCUGCUACAAUGGUGUGUGGUAUGUUAAUCCUAUCAAUGUUCUAUCCAGUCUCUUCGGAAUAUUUCUCUGCCCCUGGUAACAAUCACAAGAAGCUUACAGAAAUGAAGCAGCAAAUUGUCGAGACCAAUUUGUGCUUGACAAUGGCAUUUUUUUCUUAAACCCAUCAGUUUAGAUUUACUUGAGUUUAUUUGUUUGCGUACUCUAUUUUACAUGGUUUGAAUGCAACAAUCAGUUUGUUCCUUUCUUUUUACUUUUGUUUCUUUCCAUUUGGUUUCUUUGCAAGUGUCUUUGCAGUGAAGUCUGCAGACCUGAAGAAAUUUGUGCAUAGCGAGGUAACAGUUGUAGAGGAGUGUAGAGAGGAGAGGCACUUGCAAACUUAAAGUGUGAUUGGCUUGCUGGAGAUGUGUGUCUUCUGGAAGAAACGAUUGAAGAGAAGAAGAUCAUCAUUGGAGGACGAAGGUUGGAACUAGGACUUGAGUUUUGUUUUAUAGUGUGAAAUAAAGCCUCUACAUGUUUUGGUGAUUUUGGUAUUUCUUAAUAUAUAUAUAUAUAUAUAACUACUCAUUUUGUUGUUAUUUUUGGUGUAAUAUUUGAAUAUGUGAAUUUUAUA